rnacentral:rRNA from 1 species
UGCGCAGGCGGGCUUGUAAGUCAGUGGUGAAAUACUGCCGCUUAACGGUAGAACUGCCAUUGAUACUGCGAGUCUUGAAUAUGGUUGAGGUAGGCGGAAUGUGUUGUGUAGCGGUGAAAUGUAUAGAUAUGACACAGAACGCCGAUUGCGAAGGCAGCUUACUAAGCCAUUAUUGACGCUGAGGCACGAAAGCGUGGGGAGCGAACAGGAUUAGAUACCCUGGUAGUCC